GACGAACGCUGGCGGCGUGCUUAACACAUGCAAGUCGAGCGGUAAGGCUCCUUCGGGAGUACACGAGCGGCGAACGGGUGAGUAACACGUGAGCAAUCUGCCCUUCUCUUCGGAAUAACCAUUGGAAACGAUGGCUAAUGCCGAAUAUGACCUCGGAACACAUGUUCUGAGGUGGAAAGCUCCGGCGGAGAAGGAUGAGCUCGCGGCCUAUCAGCUUGUUGGUGAGGUAAUGGCUCACCAAGGCAUUGACGGGCAGCCGGCCUGAGAGGGUGACCGGCCACACUGGGACUGAGACACGGCCCAGACUCCUACGGGAGGCAGCAGUGGGGAAUAUUGGACAAUGGGCGAAAGCCUGAUCCAGCAACGCCGCGUGAGGGAUGACGGCCUUCGGGUUGUAAACCUCUUUCAGCAGGGACGAAGCGAAAGUGACGGUACCUGCAGAAGAAGGACCGGCCAACUACGUGCCAGCAGCCGCGGUAAUACGUAGGGUCCGAGCGUUGUCCGGAAUUAUUGGGCGUAAGGCUCGUAGCGGUUUGUCGCGUCGGGAGUGAAAACUCAGGGCUCAACCCUGAGCGUGCUUCCGAUACGGGCAGACUAGAGGUAUGCAGGGGAGAACGGAAUUCCUGGUGUAGCGGUGGAAUGCGCAGAUAUCAGGAGGAACACCGGUGACGAAGGCGGUUCUCUGGGCAUUACCUGACGCUGAGGAGCGAAAGCAUGGGGAGCGAACAGGAUUAGAUACCCUGGUAGUCCAUGCCGUAAACGUUGGGCGCUAGGUGUGGGGACCUUCCACGGUCUCCGUGCCGCAGCUAACGCAUUAAGCGCCCCGCCUGGGGAGUACGGCCGCAAGGCUAAAACUCAAAGGAAUUGACGGGGGCCCGCACAAGCGGCGGAGCAUGCUGAUUAAUUCGAUGCAACGCGAAGAACCUUACCUGGGUUUGACAUAUACCGGAAAGCUGCAGAGAUGUAGCCCCCUUUUGGUCGGUAUACAGGUGGUGCAUGGCUGUCGUCAGCUCGUGUCGUGAGAUGUUGGGUUAAGUCCCGCAACGAGCGCAACCCUCGUUCUAUGUUGCCAGCACGUAAUGGUGGGGACUCAUAGGAGACUGCCGGGGUCAACUCGGAGGAAGGUGGGGAUGACGUCAAGUCUUCAUGCCCCUUAUGUCCAGGGCUUCAAGCAUGCUACAAUGGCCGGUACAAAGGGCUGCGAAACCGCAAGGUGGAGCGAAUCCCAAAAAGCCGGUCUCAGUUCGGAUUGGGGUCUGCAACUCGACCCCAUGAAGUCGGAGUCGCUAGUAAUCGCAGAUCAGCAACGCUGCGGUGAAUACGUUCCCGGGCCU
rnacentral:rRNA from 1 species